GAUGAACGCUGACAGAAUGCUUAACACAUGCAAGUCAACUUGAACUUCGGUUUGGGUGGCGGACGGGUGAGUAACGCGUAAAGAACUUGCCUCACAGAUAGGGACAACAUUUGGAAAUGAAUGCUAAUACCUGAUAUUAUGAUUAUAUGGCAUCGUAUAAUUAUGAAAGCUAAAUGCGCUGUGAGAGAGCUUUGCGUCCCAUUAGCUAGUUGGAGAGGUAACGGCUCACCAAGGCGAUGAUGGGUAGCCGGCCUGAGAGGGUGAUCGGCCACAAGGGGACUGAGACACGGCCCUUACUCCUACGGGAGGCAGCAGUGGGGAAUAUUGGACAAUGGACCAAGAGUCUGAUCCAGCAAUUCUGUGUGCACGAUGAAGUUUUUCGGAAUGUAAAGUGCUUUCAGUUGGGAAGAAAAAAAUGACGGUACCAACAGAAGAAGUGACGGCUAAAUACGUG
rnacentral:rRNA from 1 species